AUGACCAACCUGAUGUUCUGGAAAGGCCAGUUACACAUGCAGAUCUGGCCCCCCAGUGGGCUACUCCCACUUGCUUUUUGUCAGGUCUACAGCUGUGUGCUGUGGAGGCUGGUCCUGGCAGGAUUCCUAGAUACACUGGCUUUUGGAAGAUUUCCAGAGGUUCUGGAAGCUGUCGAUUACCGAGGAGGAUUUGGAGAGAAGUGGUCUGUAAUCCCCAGGAAACUUGCCUGAUUCACCAGGUGCUGGUGCAUAUUUAGAAAAAUUAGAGGAGCUCAUGAGUUUAUUAUGGCCUGAAGCCACCAAGACUGUGAGACUGCAAUGGCCUUGCAGUCACACACACAAAAGUAAAACUCCUAGGUGUUAAAUUAUUUUUACUACCUGAUCACACCCUUGGGUGGGGCUCUCCUUAACGGGAAUGCCUCUUCCACAGGAAACUGCUAUUCUAGCAAACAUCAUAGCAGUUAGGUCAUUAGCUGUGUAAGAGGUCCAGUUCGGAUUUGAGCUGGGGUUUCCAGAACACACACGUGCACUCCCCCUCCUUCCCAUAACCACAUUUUUGACUGGUGUCGGAUUGCUGGGCUCAAGUGCAAUAUCCAUUUACUUAAAAAGCAAUUUCAAAUCUUGUUGUAUUUUAAUAGGUGCAUAAAGUGUAAAUUUGCUCUCUAUAUAUGGGACCAUCUCCACAUGUAAUAGAAUCUGUUUUUAUUGUCUUUCUGAUUGUGUUUACAUUUGGAAAGAUUUUCUAAACGUCAUUUCUCCUGCAAAAACAGCCAAGCAGUAUAUUUCUCUUUUCCCUGGAUGCAGGCUUUUUUGUGCUCUUCUCUUCAGCAGUUGGCACAAACUGACAUUUCUUUCCUUUAAAUACUGAAAAAAAUCAUGAAAUCACAGUAUAAUGGGAGCAUCAUUCCAAAUUGCUGCUGCAUUUCACAAGGUGUGCACAGAGCAGCAUCCUACUAUUCUUAGCAUAAAAUACACUGAGCUGGUUCAUAGUAUGUGAGUACUGAGGAAGCACGUAGUCUUUGGGUGUUCCUGGUAAGUUACAACUUCCCCACGCUAUGCCAAAAAGCUUUCUACUUCAGCACUCAUGACUUUCGAGUACUCUGUAGAGGUAGUAAUAACUGUGUUCUUCUCACAGUGAAGGGACAGUGAGUCUUUGCUUCUUGUACAAUAAACCAUGUAGAAAUUAGUUGAGAAUGGGCA
rnacentral:lncRNA from 1 species